rnacentral:lncRNA from 1 species
CUAUGCUGGAUGGAGGAUAUGCGAUCCACCUGCCAGAAGAUGAAAGGUGUGCAUUCACUCUCUCAGACAAUCAGAUUAGGGCCUCUUUCCUUCCUGCCUGUCUCUUCACACCGGUCAAAAUGAUGGGCACACGCGGUUCUCCUAUCUUACUUUAUUCUCUUCCCUGUUUCCCUAACCAUUUUAACUAGCCGGCUUGAAAUCAAGAAGAUACUUACAAGAAUCAAGUUAAUCUCAGGGGUUUGCUUAAUAAUAUCAUCUGACAUUUUGAAGUUUUCAAAAUGCUUUCCCAUAAGUCAUUUUGCUUGAGCCCAGCCAAAGCCCUUAAAAUGAAUAUUCUGUACUCCUUACAGAAAGAGACUGAGGUUCAGUAAAGUUUAAUACCUUGCCCAUGGAAAUCAUGGAACCUGAGAAAGAAGGUAGGUUUGCUGACUCCUGGUUCUAACACUGUGACUGUCUCUUAAUUAUUCUGCACCACUGUGUCCAACAAUAUUUACAUAUUUCUUCCUUUUUUAUUCUAGCUGGAGUCAUACUUCCAAUGAACACUUAUAAGAAUAAUUAGACCUGUCUCAUCCUUUGCCUGAUCUUCAUAACCUUUUGCUAGGUCUUCAUGCCUUUAUCAUGACUGCCUGAAAUUCCUCAUCACCCACUGCUAUCAAAGAUAACUUCUCCUCAACACUGUGGCAGGAUCCCAUCAGUUUUCAGGUUGGUUCCUCCAGUUUGGGGAUGGAAAAGGGGAAGAAAAUAAAGAAUGUCUCCUAACCUUCCUAAAUUGUAAAGACUCUAGACAGCAGAGGGGAAGAAACAUUGUCAACUCUUCCCAUACUCUGGAGCUCCAACGGUCACUGUGUCCUGCUGGUUCAUUUCCUUGGUGUGAAGCCACAGCUGGGCCUUCAGUUACUCUCUUUUCACCAUUCGGUCUUCCUUCAUUUUCUCUCACUCUUGGGAUCAGGUGUGUGUGUGUUCACCUCCGUGAAAAAGAGUUGUGGCUCCUGAAGGAGACCUUCGUCAUCAAGGUCAGAGGCGACAAGAAUGGAUACAACUUUCAGUGUGUCCUUGCGGAGGUCCAGUGUGCUCACCACCUUCCCUUCUCGAGUGCCUGCCCACACUCUUCAGGCUCCAGCAUUUGACAGAGACAUUUUCACAGAGACAGUUCAGCCAGCCCCUGCCGCUGUAUAAACCAAUUCUGCCUCUCAUGUAAAUCCAUGGGGGUGUGUGUGUGUGUGUGUGUGUGUGUGUGUGUGUAUAGCCUAUUGCAUCUACUUCUCUGGUUGAACCCUAAUCAUACAAAAUUUGGAUGUGGG